CAGUCGCCGCGGGAAUACGUAGGGCGCAAGCGUUAAUCGGAAUUACUGGGCGUAAAGCGUGCGCAGGCGGUUAUAUAAGUCAGAUGUGAAAUCCCCGGGCUCAACCUGGGAACUGCAUUUGAGACUGUAUGGCUAGAGUGUGUCAGAGGGGGGUAGAAUUCCACGUGUAGCAGUGAAAUGCGUAGAUAUGUGGAGGAAUACCGAUGGCGAAGGCAGCCCCCUGGGAUAACACUGACGCUCAUGCACGAAAGCGUGGGGAGCAAACAGGAUUAGAUACCCCUGUAGUCCCUGUCUCUUUACA
rnacentral:rRNA from 1 species